rnacentral:lncRNA from 1 species
GCAUUCCAUUUCAACGGCCAAUCAGAUUCCUCGGAUUAUCCCAGAGCCUCACGUUCCUUCCCGAGGAUCGCAGGCUCCGGGAACGAGAUUGAUCUUUUUUAUUUUGUCACCAGUUCCAGGCUCUUCGCGAUUUAAUUCAAACCAAAUGGGUUUUCCAUGUAAAUGGUAAACAACCCUUCAGUGCCUUCCGGUCAGUCACUCUAAAUGGAAAGCGCAUAAUCCGAAUGGGAUUUUCUAUCCGAAAUUUUGCUUACCAUUA